ACACACACACACACACACACACACACACACACACACACACACUGGUUAGACUCACCAGUAGAGACAACUGUAUGAAUGGUGUAGGGACCCAGGUACUCACCAGUAGAGACAACUGUAUGAAUGGUGUAGAGACCCAGGUACUCACAAGUAGAGAUAACUGUAUGAAUGGUGUAGGGACCCAGGUACUCACCAGUAGAGACAACUGUAAGAAUGGUGUAGAGACCCAGGUACUCACCAGUAGAAAUAACUGUAUGAAUGGUGUAGGGACCCAGGUACUCACCAGUAGAGAUAACUGUAAGAAUGGUGUAGAGACCCAGGUACUCACCAGUAGAGAUAACUGUAUGAAUGGUGUAGGGACCCAGGUACUCACCAGUAGAGAUAACUGUAUGAAUGGUGUAGGGGCCCAGGUACUCACCAGUAGAGAUAACUGUAUGAAUGGUGUAGGGACCCAGGUACUCACCAGUAGAGAUAACUGUAUGAAUGGUGUAGGGACCCAGGUACUCACCAGUAGAGAUAACUGUAUGAAUGGUGUAGGGACCCAGGUACUCACCAGUAGAGAUAACUGUAUGAAUGGUGUAGGGACCCAGGUACUCACCAGUAGAGAUAACUGUAUGAAUGGUGUAGGGACCCAGGUACUCACCAGUAGAGAUAACUGUAUGAAUGGUGUAGAGACCCAGGUACUCACCAGUAAAGGUACUCACCAGUAGAGGUACUCACCAGUAGAGGUACUCACCAGUAAAGGUACUCACCAGUAGAGGUAUUCACCAGUAAAGGUACUCACCAGUAAAGGUACUCACCAGUGAAGGUACUCACCAGUAAAGGUAUUCACCAGUAGAGGUACUCACUAGUAGAGGUACUCACCAGUAAAGGUACUCACCAGUGAAGGUACUCACCAGUACAGGUACUCACCAGUAGAGGUACUCACCAGUAGAGGUACUCACCAGUAGAGGUACUCACCAGUAGAGGUACUCACCAGUAAAGGUACUCACCAGUAAAGGUACUCACCAGUAAAGGUACUCACCAGUAGAGGUACUCACCAGUAGAGGUACUCACCAGUAGAGGUACUCACCAGUAAAGGUACUCAUCAGUAAAGGUACUCACCAGUAGAGGUACUCACCAGUAGA